AACAAACGCUGGCGGCGUGCCUAAUACAUGCAAGUCGAACGGGGAAAGCUUUCGGGUGAGUACUAGUGGCGCACGGGUGAGGAACGCGUGGAUAAUCUGCCUUAGAGUGGGGGAUAACUAGUCGAAAGAUUAGCUAAUACCGCACAAGACCACAGGAGCUGCGGCUCAAGGGGUCAAAGGUUUUUCGCUCUAAGAUGAGUCCGCGUAAGAUUAGCUAGUUGGUGAGGUAACGGCUCACCAAGGCGACGAUCUUUAACUGGUCUGAGAAGAUGAUCGGUCACACUGGAACUGAGACACGGUCCAGACUCCUACGGGAGGCAGCAGUAGGGAGUAUUGCACAAUGGAGGAAACUCUGAUGCAGCGACGCCGCGUGAGUGAUGAAGGCCUUCGGGUCGUAAAGCUCUGUCGCAGGGGAAUAACACAAUGAAUGUACCCUGUAAGAAAGGAUCGGCUAACUUCGUGCCAGCCGCCGCUGUAACAC
rnacentral:rRNA from 1 species